UACGGAGGAUGCGAGCGUUAUCCGGAUUUAUUGGGUUUAAAGGGUGCGUAGGCGGGCUUUUAAGUCAGCGGUAAAAAUUCGGGGCUCAACCACGUCCGGCCGUUGAAACUGGGGGCCUUGAGUGGGCGAGAAGAAGGCGGAAUGCGUGGUGUAGCGGUGAAAUGCAUAGAUAUCACGCAGAACCCCGAUUGCGAAGGCAGCCUUCCGGCGCCCUACUGACGCUGAGGCACGAAAGUGCGGGGAUCGAACAGG
rnacentral:rRNA from 1 species